CGCCGCGGCCGCGCGAGGCGUUUGGUGUCGGCUGCGGGCCGUCCCGCCAGGGCCCUCUGACGUGCUGCGUGUGCACAGGUGGCUGCGCGGUGCCCGUCAGUGCGCCGCCCGUGGCGGGGUCUGUGUUCGGGAACGGGUGUGUUUGUGGCUGCAGUUGCCGCAGUUCGUCCCGGCCCUCCAGACCUCCCCAGCCCCACUCUCGGCCUCGUGGUCCUGGCAUGCCCGCUGCUUCUGCCCCGGAUGCUUCCUCUGGGCUCCGUCCCCAACACGUCCACGUCACGCCUGCUGCCUUAGUCCUGCAGAAAUCCUGCGCUUUGGAUUUGUGCCACCUUCUGUAAGUUGAAAGCUUCUGGACCAAGUGCGGCAGUGAGAUGGAGUCAGAAGAGGAGGUAUUGCCAUCAGAGAGUCAGCAAAAGUGGUUGACCAAGCCAAAAGGAGGGUGCUGAGGGGAGUUGAUGACCUGGACUUUUUCAUAGGGGAUGAAGCCAUAGAUAAACCCACGUAUGCCACAAAGUGGCCAAUAAGACAUGGAAUAAUUGAAGACUGAGAUCUAAUGGAGAGGUUCAUGGAACAAGUUAUUUUUAAUUUUCCCUGAGCUGAACCUGAGGGCCAUCACUUUUUGAUGAGUUUUAGAAUUAAGACUCUCAUCCUCAGAAACCUUCCUAGCAGAUUUGCCCUGUCUGUCCGUGCCCAGUGUGGGCCCUAGAGGGGAACAAAAUUACUUUGGUACAUUUUGAUGAGUCAAGAUUCUCUCCUGUUGCUGGUGAGGGGACCACAUCUCAUCACCUGGCCCCAAGAGCAGAGGGAGCUGAGUCAAGGUGCUGUUUUGCCAAGGUUAAAUCUCACAGUAACACUGAGCUGAGUUACAGGCCCUGAUAUUGUGGAUGUAAUUGAUCUUGUUCAGAUGAAAUAAAAUAAUACAGAGAAAUGAAGAGAAGUGUCUCUUGGUUGUGGAGCCUGUUUUCAUUGUUUUAUGUUCUUUUUAAGUUAAAAUUAAUUACAUGUAUAAAACACUUACUUUAAGGAGAGCAAUUGCAUGUAACAUAAGCUGCACAUUAAAACCUACAUAAUUUAGCUUUGCAUUUUUUCCAUGCUAGUGCAUUGUCAAAUGGUCCCUGAUCCAAUUAUAUAAUUCUUCCUAAUGUUAAAUAUGGAAUAUUCUUUAGAAUUAUCUGGCUUAAAAUAUGUUAAGUACAAGGCUGUUAUGGUAGUUAGUGGAAUCUAUAUAUUUUGUGUCUAUUAAAUCAAGUCCUUGAAAGUGCUCUAAGCUUUUUCCUGGCUGUAUCUUUACAACUAGGAAUUGCCACGUCCAAGUAAUGUGUUUUACAGGCCACUGUGUAUUUUCUCUCCUGUGUAUCUACGAUGGUUUAUGUAAAAUACAUGGAGCCAGGAAACUGACAGUAUGUCUGAGUGGCUUUGUCUUUACAGCCAAAACAAAUUACAGACUCCCACCUGCCAUGCUUGGCAUGUUCCCUUCUCUCAUACGUCACAUAACUACCUGUUGAUAGGACUCCAGGCAUGGGCCUGGGGCCCAGCUUCCUCUCCCUGCCUGCCCCAUCCUGCUCUGCUCAGAGGGAGUCUGAGUCUUAGGCCUGUGGAGCAAAUGCAAUCACCAGGACACAGCCCACAGGAAAUUUUUCCUACCAGGAAUUUUUCUGCUCUAGCUGGCAUAUACACCGCAGUACAAUAAAACCAAUUGCUGGGAACGAACUGGUGGUGUUUGGUAUGAAUAUGGAAAAGCUUAAGUCCUUUGCCAAAAAUGAGUAUCUGAAGAGAAUUUUCAAAAAUAAUUGUUUAUUACAUUAAACAUAAGAAAAUAUUGUGUUACAUUUAUUGUACUUUGAAGUUAGCAGGUGUGUUUGCUGCAUGAUGUGACAGAGGAAGUUAUGAGAAUGGUGGUUUUAUCUCAGGCUUAUGUCCUUCCUCAUCAGUUAAUGGGAUAAUUGAAGGGGAGUGAAGCAGGUACAGGGAUUUGUGGCCAUGUCCAGAAAUUCAUUGAAGACAUUUACUGAACCACUACAUCAGCUAAUGGCUUCUUGGUGUAAAAGAGUCUAAAAGUUUUAAAUUAAAGUUCCCUCAGUAGCCUAUGAAAUUGUCCCUUCUGACUGCCAUGACAGACAUCUGCACAUCCAUGGUGGGAAUGAGCUCAGUAGGGCUCAUGUUUUUCAAGAAGUUUCAGAGACUCAACUCAUGUUGGUCACGUGGACUAAACAGAUAGCAAAUGGGAACCACACUCUUUUCUCUAAUACUGAAUUGCCCAGAGUUCAAGACAGAAUCAUAUAUUCUAAAGAACUGCAGUGCUCUUGAAGGGAAAUUGAAUUGUAACUGUAGAGGAGAUUUGCAAACCUUUUUGAAUAUGAAUCAGGGGAGGAAGAGCAAGCAGCAGUGCUGCCCAAGGAUGCUGGGAACCAGGAGCUCUGCCAUCCACCUGAGAGCAGGAAAGAUGUGUGUCCCAGCUCAGGGAUGGAGGAUCAUCCUUCCUUCAUCCUUUUGUUCCAAUCAAGUCCUCAGUAGCCUGUGUGCUGCAUACCCACAUUGGCAAGGGCAGGUCUCCUUACUCAGUCUGCUGCAUGCUAAGCUCUUCCAGAGACACCCUCUCAGACACACCCCAGAAAGAAUGGUUUACCAGCUCUCGGGGUACCACUUAGCCCAGUCAAGCUGACACAUAAUAAUCACCAUGACAUGUGGCUUGUCCUGGCUUACCGCAAUAACUCCCUUCCUGGUUCAUGAGGGUGGCUCAGACCUGCUCUGUCCUGUACACUAGCACUGGCCGGUGUGGAGCUGGACAUCCUUGGCGCUGCUGAGUCUGUUACUGCUGGCCCGUGUUCUUCCCAUUUUCAGUAUAUUGUCAUCUCCACUCCUACUUGCCCUUCCUUGAGGAUUUAUGUUUUUAAAAAUGUUUCUUUACUGCAGUUAUGGAGAGGUUUGGGACUGGAGCAAUAUUAGUUGCAUGUGUUCAGCUUGCUUUCUUUAUCCAGAAAUAUGGAUUGAUUUUUAUAGUACUGACUAAUUAUUCAUUUUUGAAUUAAUACUUGAUGAUAUUUUACCAUUAUUAUGAAUAAAAUGCUUAUGUAACUUGCAUUCAUGUGAAGUUUUAAUCAUAUACUUCAGUAUUUAAAAAAUAAGAAAAACUUGAUAUCUCCAAUUUAGAUCUCGUUAUAUAUAAAUAAUGGUUUUUGGAAGGUUUUAUUUAAAUUAGUCCUCUAAAGGAACAAUUACUGGUGGUAAACAUAGGAGAAAAGGAGGAUUGAGGAAAACAUAGAUUUAUGAUUAUGGUUCUGAGAACCCAGAAGAAUGUGUCUUUAAUAAUGCUGAAUUUGAUUCAGGAGCCAGGAGAACCUAAUUUUAUUGUAAACUUUCUCUUAAUGGAAGUGUAUAGAUUUUAAUGUUAGUUCUUCACAGAUGGUGAAUUGUUUGGCAGCAAGUACUAAAGUGUAAAAAUCAGUGAUUUAAGCAAGUUAAAGGUUUUAUUUUUCUUAAAGUCAUUUGUAGCAGGGAGGGCAGUGCUGGUAUGUCAGGUUUCUGGUGUCAUUAGGGUUCUGUGUGCUCUAGUAUAUUUAGCAUAUGGCUUCCAUUCUAAGAUUGCCUUAGAUCACAAGUUAGCUGCUGCAGCUCCAGUCAUCACCUCCAUAUUCCAGGAAAGAAGGAGUUAAGAGCAGAAGUGGGCCUACUACAUGAGUCUACCUUCAACCUUGUAAGGAGCUUUCCCAGAAGACACAUCCAAUAACUUUUGCUUCUUAUUGGCCAGAACUUACUUAGCCAUCCCUGUACACCAGGAAGUCUGGGAAAUGCUGUUUUCUGGGCCUGUGAUUGAUCAGUGGUCUGUCAUUAAGGCAGAAGGCAGAAUAGAUACUGGGUAGGGAAAUUGCAGUGCCUGCCAUAAGAUGUGACUACAGGUAUGAAGACUGGCAGAUCAAGAAUUCAGCUGUCUUCACAACUGUGGUUGGAUAUGGAAAGUGUUUUCCACGUUACAGAGCCAACAGGCUAGGGAAAAGCCACACCAGGAUGUGCUGUGGCUUCUGCCCUGGGGUGAAGUCUUUCUUCUGUUAGCUUCUCUGCCUGUGGAGAAAUAAACCAGGAAGUUGUAUUGGGAGUUUCUGUGGCCUUCACACACAGGCUGUAACUCAGGGCUUCACAACUCUUGUAAUGAAUUUUUUUUUCUUAUUAUAGAACUAUAAGUGCGAUUUAGAAAAUUUGGAAGAUUCUUGUGGGGCUUUUCACACUCCUAUCCCAUUAUCAUAAAUAUUAACAUUUAGUAUAGCUAUACUUAAUCUUUUCACUCAUGUUUUUAUAUGAUUUUGCAUUCAAUAUUGUGUCCUCCAUCCCUCUCCCCCAUUUUCUUGCACGGUUUUCAUAAUCCUCGCUUUAAUGGUCAUGCAAUCAUGUAUCCAGUGGUUGUUUCCUGUCUGUUUAGCAGCCCCACUAUUUUUAGAUGUUUACUUUUGUUUCCAGUUUCUUGGUUUUGUAAGACAUAACAUAAAUUAAUAUUUGCACAUUUUUUUCUAUAUUUAGAGCAUUUUUAUAUUAAGAAUAUAAAAAUUAUAUAUAUAUAUAUAUAAUUUUAAGGUCCAGAUGUGUUAAUAAUUUUGAAUCUCUGGUAUACCAUUUCACACUGAAAUCUUCAAUGUACAAGAAGCCACAUUAUUUGAACUCUUAGGAUUGAUUAAUAUCAUUUUUGAUUAUUUGACUUUUUAAUUUGCAGUUUGAAUACCUUUGAUCUUAAACAGUUUUUCAUGUAUUUAUUAGUUGUAUUUUCUCCUUUGUGAAUUGCCUAUUCAUGUCCUGGGUUUUGUACAUAUCAGUGUUUUAUUGCUUUUAUUGUUGCUAUGAUUUCUUUGAACUUUAUUCUACUUAAAUUUUUCUUUUGUGAUAAAAUGCACAUACCAUAAAAUUUAUCAUUUUAACCAUUUCUGAAUGUACAGUUUGGUGAGUUGCGUACAUUGACAUUGUUGUGCAACCAUCACCACCAUCCAUCUCAGGAACUUCUUCAUCUUCCAAACUGAAACUCUGUCCACAUUAAAGAAUAACUCUCUUUCCCCCUCUCCCAGCCCUAGCCCCCACCAUCCCCCCUCUGUCUCUAUGACUGUAAGUAUUCUGGGUCCUCAUAUAAGUGGAAUCAUCCAGUAUUAGUCCUUUCAUGACUGGCUUAUUUCACUUGGUAUAAGGUCUUCAGGGUUCAGCCACAUUGUAGCAUGUGUCAGAAUUUCCUUCCUUUUUUAGGGCUGAAUAAUAUUCUGUUGUAUGUAUGGCCACAAUCUGUUUAUGGUGUGAACUCUUUCAUAUAACAGAUAAGAAUUUUUUGUCAUAAGCAGAUACUUUUUCUCACUUGAUUUUUUGUAGGUUAUGUUUUUGAACAUCUAUAAUUGUAAAUUUUUAUGUAAGUAAACCUACUUUCCUUUGAUGUUUAUAUAUAUUUUUCAUUCAUCUGGGAUUUAUUUGGAACAUCACUUGACACUGAAAUUAAACCCAGGAAGAAUCCAGAGCCAGGGUUAAUCUACUUCUUGUUGGAAUGCCUUCUAUAGGCUCACAUUUUUUUUUAAACCAGGCAGGAAGGAAACAUUGCAUGACUAUGCUCCCACUUUGCAUACCUUUCUAGCCUUCCUCUCUUCAUCCUAUUCCCCCCUCUAAUCAGUUUAAAUGUUAUGUUUAUAAAAUUAACUUAUUAAGGUGCUUGGAUUCCUCUUCAAGGUAAGAGAAGACUCUAGGUCUCUGGAGUUAAUACAUUCAAUUUCUUCUGGCCUGAGAUAUAUUCUUGAUAUUACAGUUGAUUGUUGAUAUAUUCAGCACUUGCUAAAGGCCCAGCCCUCUCCCCACCAAGCAUUUGCAUGAAUUAACUCACUUAUUUAAUCCCACAGACAAUUGUGUGGUAGGUAGUUAUUAGGCCUGUUUUUCAGGUUGGAUAGGAGGUGCCAUAAGGAGAUAUAUUGUAACCUAAAUAUUGGAAUCCACAGCUAUUCUUCAUGUGCUUUAAAUGAAAGAAAACUAAAAAAAAAAAUCUGAUAUAGUAAACACUAACACAGUUCUAAAUGUGUACUGGGAACAUUAAGGUAUUAACUAAUUUGAUCUCAGCCCCUUGAGGUAGGCACAUUAAAAUAAGUAAUGUGUUGUUGAAUAACGUUUAGAUCAUUUACUUACAAUCUGCUUUUGAUGACUUUAUUAUUUCUUGUCUAUGUCUUAAGAUUGCUUUCUCUCUCCCAUUCAGGGAGUGUAUUGAUUCUAAUCAGAGUAAUUAAAACUUACUUGGGGCAUGAUGUUUGAGCUUUGUAUCAGACAGGAGUAUAAACUAAAGCCCCCAGCUAGUUGAUAGCCAGAUUUGAUUAUUUGCUUGAAGAGUUAGCAUACACACAGCACAGAAUUCAAAAGGUGCAGUACGAUUUCCAGUGCAAGAGUGUCUCUUUCCCACUUCUGUGUUGCCUUCCAGAUCCCCUUCCUGGAGGAAACCAACUUUACUGGUGCUUAACCAGCAAUAAUUAUGUGCAGGCACAUGGAUUAUACAUAAACUUGAUUCAUAAAAUGGUAACAAAAUUGACAUACUAUGGUACAUUUUGAUUUUUACUUUAAAAAUUUUAGAAAUUAUAAUUUGAAAUAUAUGAAAUUUACCCACUUAACACAGUUUUAAAUGUAUCAUUUGGUAACGUUACCUACAUUGAUAUUGUGAUGUAACAGAACUCUAGAACUUUUCCAUCUUGCAAGAUCAAAACUUUGUGCCCAUAAACAGCUCCUCAUUUCUCUCCCUCAUACACCUUGCUUUUUUAAAAAAAUGUUGUAGAUACAGAAGUAUAUUUAAGAAUGUGUAUGUAUGGAGAGGCCUCUUUUCAUGUAGCAAAUUUAUAGUAGAUAUUGUUUCAUAUCUGCAGACACACUGCCCAUCCUUUUUAAUUGCUGCAAAGUGUUACAUUUUAUGGAUGUGACCUAAUCUGUGUAAUCAGUUCCUUGUUAUGUGCAGUUAUGUUUUUCUGAUCUUGGAAGCUGUGACAACUGUGCACCUCUCUGAGGCACCUUGUUUUAGAUGUCCCUUGGCUUGACAAUGGAAUUUGAUUUUGUCUCAUAGUCUUUGUUCAGAGACUUUCUCUUCAGUAGGUGAGUUUUUCACUGGUACAUGCUGAUGAUUUUAGUGAUAAUAAUGCACUUUCACUGAGUACAUUCCCCAUCCCAGGUGCUGCCAUGAGCACUUUGUUUAGACUCCUGUGAAGUCAGUGCUAAUUAUGCAUGGAGAGAGGAAAUCACUUUCCAAACUUGGUAAAAUCGAAGGUGGGGUGUAGCUGGGCUGAUUGGAGUUGGAGCUCUCCCGUUGCCCGUGCUGAAAUGGCCUGGGCUGUAUGGCAGGUGUGUGUGGUCACAGCUGCUUUUCUGGUGCUGUGCUUUCUGGUUUUAGUGUGUUUUAUUUAUGUAUGGAUAUUUUAAAACUCAGGCUUGGCUUUCUCUUUGGUUUCUAUUGGGUGCAUAUUCGUUCUGAUAAUUGGUAAAACAUAUUUUAACAUAACUGUACUUUUGUAUAAGAUAUUUACCUGUAUUUGUUUAGGGAUGAUUACUUCCUACUGUGCUUAGUGACCACGUUGGUACAUGGCCACAUUUCUUACCUCCUCCUCCUUUCUUCUAUCACCUGCUUUUGAUUGUUUAUGUUAGUGAACUUACUCUGAUAUUUAUGUUUGUGACUUUAUGUUUACUGGUGUCUCUGCUGCUCUACCAAGAAAACAAUAUCUUUUGAUUCCAUGACACAAGGGCAUCAGUGUCUUUAUAUUUUCCUCCUUUCCAUCUGUGCCUGUCAACUUGAUACUACUCCUGUUGUUUUAAUUUAUAAUAUUUACAU